UACGUAGGUGGCGAGCGUUGUCCGGAUUUACUGGGCGUAAAGGAUGCGUAGGCGGAUAUUUAAGUGAGAUGUGAAAUACCCGAGCUUAACUUGGGUGCUGCAUUUCAAACUGGAUAUCUAGAGUGUGGGAGAGGAGAAUGGAACUCCUAGUGUAGCGGUGAAAUGCGUAGAGAUUAGGAAGAACACCAGUAGCGAAGGCGAUUCUCUGGACCAUAACUGACGCUGAGGCAUGAAAGCGUGGGGAGCAAACAGG
rnacentral:rRNA from 1 species